ACCCUUUUACCUCUCUACCAGCCAAACAACGACAGAAUUAUCCAAAAAAUUAUGCUGUUUUAGACUGAUUUCCAUUACAAUAUUUCCAACUCUGUUAUUUAAAACCCUGUUUGCUAUAGAGAUAAAAACAAUUCAUGGAAUUGGCAGCUGAUUUGGUACAUUUCAAACUGAUUCAGUUACACAGUCUCUGAUUAUGUUAUUUAAAACCCUGCCCCCAACCUUUUAUUUUCUCCUAUCCCCCAUUUUAUUCUCUUCACUCCUCUCCCAAAAAAAA
rnacentral:misc_RNA from 1 species